rnacentral:rRNA from 1 species
AUACGUAGGUGGCGAGCGGUUGUCCGGAUUUACUGGGCGUAAAGGGAGCGUAGGCGGAUUUUUAAGUGAGAUGUGAAAUACUCGGGCUUAACCUGGGUGGCUGCAUUUCAAACUGGAAGUCUAGAGUGCAGGAGAGGAGAAGGGAAUUCCUAGUGUAGCGGUGAAAUGCGUAGAGAUUAGGAAGAACACCAGUGGCGAAGGCGCUUCUCUGGACUGUAACUGACACUGAGGCACGAAAGCGUGGGGAGC